rnacentral:lncRNA from 1 species
CUGGCCCCUAUGCUGAUCUGACAGAGCAAAAACUUCAAGUUUUUUGUUACAUUACUGUGGGUAAAAGAAGUUAGUGUCAAAACACGUUUCAGGUUGUGAGACUCCCAAGUGGAACAAGCUCCCUUCUUUCAAAGUUGCUGCUGUGUUGGAGGAAAGACAGAAGAUCUCCUGGAAGAACAGGGGAAACUAAAGGCUCUAGGAAGCUUCCAGUUUUCAUGCGAGCAUGUGACGUCAUCCGAGACUCCUUCAUCUUCAGUUCAUACUCUGAGGCCAGCUGACAUUAAAGUAGUCACUGCAUUAGGAAGUUUGCAAACACCACUGGGAUCCAGCAUUUAUCAUGAAGAUUUACUCCAAAGAACAGGAAAGAGCCUCCCUGAAGUAAGCGUGGAAAUUUUGGCAGCUCUUAUUAGCAGUUUUAAUCCUUCGGUCCUGCACCAGUCUCCUCUGCCUGUCACAAUGGGAGCAGCAUCAGAUGGUCAAGCAAUAGGCCUCUUAGAUCAAGCUGGAGAAAUAGUGAAGCUCAUGAAAGAGAACCAGGUGUGUUUAAAGAACAAGACCAUUACGAGAGUUUGGUCUCCAAUCUGGGAAAGGGAGAAAUGUGAUGAAAGACCUUAAACUCCUCAAAAUAGGAUAUAUUGUUUCUUGAGCUUAACAGACUUAACAGACUAUCUGACGUAAAUAGAAUCAGUUCUGUACUCUUUUAAGGUAUGAAGUUCUGUUCUUGAAAAUAUCUCACCUGCUUUAUGUUUGCCGGAAGAGGCUGGUGAAGUUGGCAUGGAAGCCAACAUUUUUGUUUUUGUAUUGCUUAAGGACGUGAGAACCCUAUCUACACUCUGUGCCAGUGUUUCUGAGAAGCCAACCCCAAAUUGUGAUUCUUGAUAUUUAUCUUUUCCCCCUGCUAUCUUAGGAUCAUAUUUUCAAAAAUGUGAGAUAUGCUUUGGCUGAUAUCAGUGGUUGAUGCUGGUGAGAACUGUAUUAUCACUCAUGACUGAGUGCUUUGAAAAUCCCACCCUGGAGUUUUAAGCACUCACUUUUCUUCUAUUCUCAACCCUCAGGCGUGUUAUUUUGUAAAAUGAUCUUCACAUAACUUGC